GGGCCUCUCGUCCCAUUGACACCAGAUAAGGCCACCCUCUGCUACAUUUGCAGUUGGAACUAUGUGUAUUCCUUGUCCCACAUGAUGUUCAUUUUGAAGACUGAAAUUGCUAAGAAACUGAUGCCAGGGCAAAAGACAGCAUCUCGGCCAUGCUCACAUUCUCACAGUGAUGUAUCACCUUUGUUUCACCUCUGUUGAGCAGGACUAUAAAUGGAAGCACUCUGAUGAAAACUGUAUCAUUUCUCUGUCUGGUGAGAGCUCAGAGAUUGGACGUUGAUGUUUCCAAGCUCUGGAUAUGAAUGUUGACUCAAUCCCAGUAUAGAGUGUUCCAAGAAGAUGAAAUUUGACUGGAGUAGGAGACACUUACUAUUUUUUACCUUUUUGUUUGUAAAGUAAGUAUUUAAAGCACUUUCCUGAAGACAAAACAAAUGUCCAGAAUAACACAGGGAAAGUGUGGAAAUUGUAACAUUGCUCCUGACCUUAGCUCAAGUCAUCAUGAUGGAAGUACCAUUUAGGCUGUAAUACUCAGCAUGUAGACAGGACUACCAAGCAAAAUAAAAACAAAGACUUAAUCCAUCUAGGAAAGCCUUUAAAUGCACUACCUAUGCUUUUUGGCUUCUGUAGCUCUCCUUGAUAACUGCUUUUUGGUAAAUAAAUUGUAGAAACACA